AUGAGAAUCUAACGCCUGAUGACCUAUCACUGUCUCCCAUCACUCCCAGAUGGGACCGUCUAGUUGCAGGAAAACAAGCUCAGGGCUCCCACUGAUUCUACAUUAUGGAAAUUUCAUGAUCCGACUGGAAUCCAGGAAAAUCACAGCUGAAAUACAAAACAUCAGCCCUUAUCUCCAGCACUGUACAUGGCAGAAACUGCUUUUAUUCUAGAUGUCUAGAUCCAGAUCAACUGCAUGGGGUCCUACAGGAGAAGACCAAGAGACAGAGACAGAGACCAGGGAAAAUGACCGAUACCAUUCCUUCUCAGGGAUGCUACACACCCAUGGGGCAGAGGAUAAGAGGUUCCUGAAGGCAUCACCCCUCUGGCCAUGGCUGGUGUGCAGACAAAGCUGGAGAUUUGGAGUAGCCUGUUGUCCCACUGACUCUUAGACUGCCCCAGCUAAGAAGAACCAACUCCUCCUAUUACAGAUGAAAUAAACAAAGCUACUCAAGCUCUCUGGCAUCGCCCUGACGGUCAUCAUGUGCUUCACAUUUCCCUCCUGCCCCCCCUGAUUUUCUGGAAAAGGGAGAAACACACCAAAGAGAGUUCUAGAAAAAAUGAGAAUAAGAAAUUUACCUGUAAUCCUUGCUCAAGAAACUGAAGCUCUGAGGCCACAUUGUUCCAGCCUUUUGCAGCUCCUGCAUGUGGAUACCAGCACCAGCAGCUCCCCGACCAGGGGCCCCAGCUAAGCCCUCCCAGAGGAUGAUCUUGGCUUUGUACAUGGGGUGUCAAUAUCCUGUGAGUCCAACAGAGGGAAGACAUAAGAAUAUGGUCACCCAGGUAACAGACAUUUGUCUUAAUGUAUUCACUGUGUCAUCAGAAGCCACUUCUUAUCCAUCCUUGUGAAUACUUGAUGAAUGAGGAGUCAAUGAUUAAAUGAAGGAAAGAAAAGAGACUGAAAAGGAGGUAUGAGAAUGGGAAAGACGAGUGGAAAGACGAGAUAGAUAUUGCCCUAAAGACACAGUAAGCCAUCAAAUAUCUGUUUUCUAGUCCCCUUCUGGGCCCUCUUGGAUUUUGAAAAAGGGAGGAAGAAAUUGGAAAAAUUACCAAUAACUUCUAUUGACUUUGUAGAUUCCUAGUUUCCCCACAUGUGGCUAUGCUUGAAUCAACUUGUAAAAGUCUCUUUAUAGUCUGUUGAUGUUCAUGCAGGCACUAAAAGGCCACGGUCGGCCUACUUAGAUGAUCCACUCCACCCUGGGCUCCGGAAGAUGUUCCAGGGCAUUUGCCUUUACUUGACCCUAUGCUGAGAAGCUACCAAUAUUUUUCUUUCCCCAAAUUGGUUUUAUUUGUACCCUUUAUAUAUUAAAUAUUAGAGUAUUGGCCAAGUUGAA
rnacentral:lncRNA from 1 species